rnacentral:rRNA from 1 species
GAUGAACGCUGGCGGCGUGCCUAAUACAUGCAAGUCGAGCGGCAGCGCGGUCUUCGGACUGGCGGCGAGCGGCGGACGGCUGAGUAACACGUAGGAACGUACCCCAAAGUGAGGGAUAAGCACCAGAAAUGGUGUCUAAUACCGCAUGUGCUCUAAGGAGUAAAGCUUUAUGCGCUUUGGGAACGGCCUGCGUCCGAUUAGCUAGUUGGCGGUUUAAUAGACCACCAAGGCGACGAUCGGUAGCUGGUCUGAGAGGAUGAUCAGCCAGACUGGGACUGAGACACGGCCCAGACUCCUACGGGAGGCAGCAGUAGGGAAUUUUCCACAAUGGGCGAAAGCCUGAUGGAGCAACGCCGCGUGCAGGAUGAAUGCCUUCGGGUUGUAAACUGCUUUUAUUGGUGACGAUUAUGACGGUAGCCAAUGAAUAAGGACCUGCUAACUACGUGCCAGCCGCCGCGGUAA